rnacentral:tRNA from 1 species
GGGGUUGUAGCUCAAAGGUAGAGUGCUUGUCUAGCGUGCAUGAGGCAUUGGGUUCAAUCCUCAGCACCA